rnacentral:rRNA from 1 species
CCCUUAGAGUUUGAUCCUGGCUCAGAAUCAACGCUGGCGGCGUGCCUAACACAUGCAAGUCGAACGCGAAAGCCUCGCAAGGGGCAAGUAGAGUGGCAAACGGGUGAGUAACACGUGGGUGACCUGCCUUCGAGUGGGGGAUAACGUCCCGAAAGGGACGCUAAUACCGCAUAACAUGCUGUUGUUGAACAGAUGGACAUCAAAGCUGGGGACCGCAAGGCCUGGCGCUUGAAGAGGGGCCCGCGCCUGAUUAGCUAGUUGGUGGGGUAAUGGCUCACCAAGGCUUCGAUCAGUAUCCGGCCUGAGAGGGCGGACGGACACACUGGGACUGAGACACGGCCCAGACUCCUACGGGAGGCAGCAGUGGGGAAUUGUUCGCAAUGGGCGCAAGCCUGACGACGCAACGCCGCGUGGAGGAUGAAGACCUUCGGGUCGUAAACUCCUUUCGAUCGAGACGAAUGGUCUCUGGGUGAACAGCCCGGGGAAGUGACGGUACCGAGAGAAGAAGCCCCGGCUAA